ensembl:lncRNA
UAAGGUACCAUAUUUGAUUUUACUUAAACACAUGUACAUCACAUUUCAACAAUAGAAAUUACACAAUUUAAAAAACAUUACACCUAUCCAUACAAGAAACCAUUUUAUAAAAACCUCAAAUCCAAAAGACACAAAAGGAGGAGAGAAAAAUGUUCACAGUGACGUCAACAAGGCAAAAAUCAAACCCGAGCAAAAACAGGACACACUGAAAGAAAGUCAGGAAACUAUUUUUAAAGAGUACUUGGCUGAGGCAUGAUGGUAUUAGCAAGUGGCAUCCAAAAAAAAAACCAAAAAAAAAAAAACCCACAAAAGAAAAAACAUUUGGAAAUUAAAGUGAGAUCAAACUAAAGUAAGUGAAGCUGUCUACUUCAUGUGCAAUUUUAUUUUUUAAAAUUUGUCAUAAUUUAUAUUUAAAAGAACAUCUUAUUUUGGAGAGUUUAUUUUUUGCCAAUGAAUUAUUUCAGAUUAAAGUUUUUUUUUAAUAAGACAUAAAAAAAACGAAACAAAAACACCACAAUCAAAAGCCAUAAAUCUGAAUAUUAAAUAAAAUGGAGAUCAAUUUGGGAUUCAAACUUAUAAUUGAACAUGUAAAAUACAAAACAAAAAAAUAAAAAACAAAACAUUCAACCCAGAAUUAAACAAAAAUACAAAAUGUUAGUCUGAAGUUUUAAGUCACUUACAAAAAACAGACAUUCUCAAACCCCCCCCCCCCCCCCCAAAUAAAGUUAUCAGAUAAUAGAAAUGAAAGAAAAAAGUGCUUUUUUUAGUGCUUUAGUUGAUUCUUCUUUAAGCUUGAUGGAAAUCGAAUGACAAACAAAUACAAAAAUGUAGCAUUUGUAGUUCCCUGUGGGAUUUUGUUUCGUGGCUCAUUAAUUGUAAAACAGAAAGCAUAAACUGCUAAACUGGCAUUAGCUUUAGCCAUUUAGCUUCUGGCUAAGUCAAACAAAGCUUAAGAAAAAGACUAACUCUGUGGUUUACACUAAAUUCCAUGUGUCAAAGACUGCUCACAUAACUGCUGAACAUUGAUACAGAAUACAAACACUUUACACCAACAUAUUAACUGUAAGGCUUAGUUGCAAUAGUACAAUACAGAGUCAUAUGAUGAUACUGUUUACAAAUCCCUGAAGACACCAAUGUAUAAUAAUGAGGUUUAAACACAUUUGUUUGCCAGCGGUUUAA